rfam:Felis catus isolate Cinnamon breed Abyssinian chromosome B3, whole genome shotgun sequence.
GCCUGGGUGGCUCAGUGGGUUAAGCAACUGACUUCAGCUCAGGUCGUGAUCUCACAGUUCGUGGGUUCGAGCCCCGCGUCUGGCU